GAGUCAUUGGGUGCUUGAAACACCUAAAGGCGCAAUGAAAUUGAAGGCCUGACUUGUCAGACCGAGGGAGGAUGGACGCGCGGCCCGAGUGGCGGCGUCCCGCACUCCCGGGGCGUCUCGUUCUCAUUGCGAGGAGAGGCGCACCCAGAGCGUACACGUUGGGACCCGAAAGAUGGUGAACUAUGCCUGGCCAGGACGAAGUCAGGGGAAACCCUGAUGGAGGUCCGUAGCGAUUCUGACGUGCAAAUCGAUCGUCAGAGCUGGGU
rnacentral:rRNA from 1 species